AUUGAACGCUGGCGGCAGGCCUAACACAUGCAAGUCGAAUGGUAACAGGAAACAUCUUGCCGUUUCGCUGACGAGUGGCGGACGGGUGAGCAAUGUCUGGGAAACUGCCUGAUGGAGGGGGAUAACUACUGGAAACGGUAGCUAAUACCGCAUAACGUCGCAAGACCAAAGAGGGGGAGUUUCGGGCCCCUUGCCAUUAGAUGUGCCCAGAUGGGAUUAGCUAGUAGGUGGGUGAACGGCUAACCUAGGCGACCAUCCGUAGCUGGACUGAGAGGAUGACCAGCCACACUGGAACUGAGACACGGUCGAGACUCCUACGGGAGGCAGCAGUGGAGAAUAUUGCACAAUGGGCGAAUGCCUGAUGCAGCCAUGCCGCGUGUAGGAAGAAGGCCUUCGGGUUGUAAAGUACUUUAAGCGGGGAGGAAGGGAGUAAAGUUAACACCGUUGCUCAUUGACGUUACCCGGAGAAGAAGCACCGGCUAACUUCGUG
rnacentral:rRNA from 1 species